CCUACGGGAGGCAGCAGUGAGGAAUAUUGGUCAAUGGACGAGAGUCUGAACCAGCCAAGUAGCGUGCAGGAUGACUGCCCUAUGGGUUGUAAACUUCUUUUAUAUGGGAAUAAAAUGUUCCACGUGUGGGAUUUUGUAUGUACCGUAUGAAUAAGGAUCGGCUAACUCCGUGCCAGCAGCCGCGGUAAUACGGAGGAUCCGAGCGUUAUCCGGAUUUAUUGGGUUUAAAGGGGGCGUAGGUGGAUUGUUAAGUCAGUUGUGAAAUUUUGCGGCUCAACCGUAAAAUUGCAGUUGAAACUGGCAGUCUUGAGUACAGUAGAGGUAGGCGGAAUUCGUGGUGUAGCGGUGAAAUGCUUAGAUAUCACGAAGAACUCCGAUUGCGAAGGCAGCUCACUGGACUGCAACUGACACUGAGGCUCGAAAGUGUGGGUAUCAAACAGGAUUAGAUACCCGUGUAGUC
rnacentral:rRNA from 1 species